GACGAACGCUGGCGGCGUGCUUAACACAUGCAAGUCGAACGAUGAAGCAGAGAUACGCGAACUUCGGUUCAACUUUCACUUCGGAUUAGUGGCAGACGGGUGAGUAACGCGUGAGCAACCUACCUCUUACAAAGGGAUAGCCUCGGGAAACCGUGAUUAAUACCAUAUGACACAUUCAUAAGGCAUCUUAAGAAUGUUAAAGCUACGGCGGUAAGCGAUGGGCUCGCGUCCUAUUAGCUAGUUGGUGAGGUAACGGCCCACCAAGGAGACGAUGGGGAACCGGGAUGAGAGGGGGAACGGUCACAAUGGAGCUGAGGCACAGACCAAACUCGUACGGAAGGCAGCAGUGGGGAAUAUUGCAGAACGGAGGGAGCUGUGAUGCAGCGACGCGGCGUGAGCGAUGAAGGAAGUCGUAAAGUAAUGCUCUGUUCUAUGGGAAGAAAAGGACGGUACCAUAGGAGAAAGCCCCGGCUAAAUACGUG
rnacentral:rRNA from 1 species